rnacentral:rRNA from 1 species
UACAGGGGGUGCGAGCGUUGUUCGGAUUCACUGGGCGUAAAGGGUGCGUAGGCGGUCGGGUAAGUCUGAUGUGAAAUCUCACAGCUUAACUGUGAAACUGCAUUGGAUACUAUCCGGCUCGAGGAAUGGAGGGGAGACUGGAAUACUUGGUGUAGCAGUGAAAUGCGUAGAUAUCAAGUGGAACACCAGUGGCGAAGGCGAGUCUCUGGACAUUUCCUGACGCUGAGGCACGAAAGCCAGGGGAGCAAACGGG